AAGCUCGUAGUUGAAUUUCGGGAUCGAUGGAUCGGUCAUGCCAUCGGUAUGUACUGGUCCCAUCGGUUCUCACCUUCUAAGGAACCAUGAUGUCAUUCAUUUGAUGUUUUGGGGAAUUAGGACUGUUACCUUGAAAAAAUUAGAGUGUUUAAAGCAGGCCAACGCUUGAAUACAUUAGCAUGGAAUAAUGAAAUAGGACAUCGCAUUCUAUUUUGUUGGUUUCUAGGAUCGAUGUAAUGAUUAAUAGGGAUAGUUGGG
rnacentral:rRNA from 1 species